GCCGACAUAGCUCAGUCGGUAGAGCGCAUCCAUGGUAAGGAUGAGGUCCCCGGUUCGAUCCCGGGUGUCGGCU
rnacentral:tRNA from 1 species